rnacentral:rRNA from 1 species
AGUGCGCAGUCUUCUGUAGCAAUACAGGAGAUCGGCGCACGGCGCACGGGUGCGUAACACGUGGGUAACCUGCCCUCCAAAGGGGGAUAACCCGCCGAAAGGCGGGCUAAUACCGCAUGACAUUCCGGUGGCUUCGGCCGCUGGAAUCAAAGCCCGCAAGGGCGUUGGAGGAGGGGCCCGCGGCCGAUUAGCUUGUUGGUGAGGUAACGGCUCACCAAGGCUUUGAUCGGUAGCCGGUCUGAGAGGAUGGCCGGCCACACUGGAACUGAGACACGGUCCAGACUCCUACGGGAGGCAGCAGUGGGGAAUCUUGCGCAAUGGGCGAAAGCCUGACGCAGCGACGCCGCGUGGGGGAUGAAGCUUCUCGGAGUGUAAACCCCUUUCG